AGUCAGGACGAAAAACCUCAUUGUGUCAAGA
rnacentral:piRNA from 1 species